UGGCUCAGGAUGAACGCUAGCGGCAGGCCUAACACAUGCAAGUCGAGGGGUAGAGAUUAGCUUGCUAAUCUUGAGACCGGCGCACGGGUGCGUAACGCGUAUGCAACCUACCUUUUACAAAGGGAUAGCCCGGAGAAAUUCGGAUUAAUACCUUAUAGUAUUGUUGAUAAUCAUUUAUUAACAAUUAAAGUUUCAGCGGUAAAAGAUGGGCAUGCGUCCUAUUAGCUAGAUGGAGUGGUAACGGCACCCCAUGGCAACGAUAGGUAGGGGUCCUGAGAGGGAGAUCCCCCACACUGGUACUGAGACACGGACCAGACUCCUACGGGAGGCAGCAGUGAGGAAUAUUGGACAAUGGACGCAAGUCUGAUCCAGCCAUGCCGCGUGCAGGAAGACGGCCCUAUGGGUUGUAAACUCUUUUAUACAAGAAGAAUAAGGCUUACGUGUAAGUUGAUGACGGUAUUGUA
rnacentral:rRNA from 1 species